rnacentral:rRNA from 1 species
AUUGAACGCUGGCGGCAGGCCUAACACAUGCAAGUCGAACGAGUGGCGGACGGGUGAGUAAUGUCUGGGACACUGCCUGAUGGCGGGGGAUCACUACUGGAAACGUUAGCUAAUACCGCAUACCAUCGGAUGUGCCCAGAUGGGAUUAGCUAGGAGGUGGGGUAACGGCUCACCUAGGCGACGAUCCCUAUCUGGUCUGAGAGGAUGACCAGCCACACUGGAACGGAGACACGGUCCAGACUCCUACGUGAGGCAGCAGUGGGGAAUAUUGAACAGUGGGCGCAAGCCUGAUGCAGCCAUGCCGCGUGUAUGAAGAAGGCCUUCGGGUUGUAAAGUACUGUCAGCGGGGAGGCGUUACCCGAAGAAGAAGCACCGGCUAACUCCGUGCCAGCAGCCGCGGUAAUAC